ensembl:lncRNA
AAUGGGAUCCAAGUCUAUAUUGACUUUCUGGCAACUCAUUAAGCUUGGCUCCUUUGCAGACCUGCAAUCAACCCGGGCAACCCCUUCAUCUUCCUUGCAGACUACGACUGUUCCGCUCUCCACACCCUACUUCUGUCCUGGCACUGGCUUUGCCAUGUCGCCAAUAGGGAUCGUGCUAGUGCUGCUGAUGGCUUUCUUCCCUCCACUGAGGGGUCGCUUGGUCACACUUGACAAUAAUUCUCACUGCAUCAGUGAGGGGAUCCCAGCAGGGACCCCUGUGGAUUUUUCCUACCAGGUGNUUCAGGGCGACUUCCGUGAUGUGGAAGUUUUGGUUCGCAAACCUGAUUUGUCAGAUUUGUACCGUGUAAAACAAAAGCCUGCUGGAAAUUUUAGCUUUGUUGCUCCAGAACAUGGGCACUACACUUUUUGUUUCCGUACGCCUGACCCCAGCUUUCAUAAGAAAAUAGAGUAUACCAUUGACAUUGGUGAAACUCCAACAGAUGAUGAUCCGGUACAAGGGCCGGACCCAAANUUUCCAUGCCCCUCCAUUUCUAGAAAGGCAGACUCACUGAUCAGAGAAGUGUUGUCUACUGUACAGCUGUUACAAGCUUCCGUCAACCAAACACUGCAAAGAUUUGAAGAGAAAAUAUCCAGAUUAGAGGAUUCCAUACAGCAAUAG